rnacentral:rRNA from 3 species
UACAGAGGGGGCAAGCGUUGUUCGGAAUUACUGGGCGUAAAGGGCGCGUAGGCGGCCUAUUAAGUCAGACGUGAAAUCCCUCGGCUCAACCGGGGAACUGCGUCUGAUACUGGUGGGCUUGAGUUCGGGAGAGGAAUGUGGAAUUCCAGGUGUAGCGGUGAAAUGCGUAGAUAUCUGGAGGAACACCGGUGGCGAAGGCGGCAUUCUGGACCGACACUGACGCUGAGGCGCGAAAGCCAGGGGAGCAAACGGG